rnacentral:rRNA from 1 species
UACGGAGGGUGCGAGCGUUAUCCGGAAUUACUGGGUUUAAAGGGUGCGUAGGCGGCGCAGUAAGUCAGGUGUGAAAGUUUGCGGCUCAACCGUAAAAUUGCUUUUGAUACUGCUGUGCUAGAAUUAGGAUGAGGUCAGCGGAAUGUGGCAUGUAGCGGUGAAAUGCAUAGAUAUGCCAUAGAACACCAAUUGCGAAGGCAGCUGGCUAGACCUAUAUUGACGCUGAGGCACGAAAGCGUGGGGAGCGAACAGG